AAAAUUUCCCCCCAGAAUUAAUGAAAAUAUUUUCCCCCAGUACAAUAUUAUCGAUCUUUUCCCAAUUUUUCUCUCACUGCAGCUUCACCUUAAUUGCCUCCUUAACCUAAUUUAUUCCUUUCAAUUCUCUGUUGCAUGUAUCUUCAGAUUACUCUCACCCAUAUAUUAUAAAUCUCCAUCCCUUUCUCUACUGAAGAUAAGUCACGCUCGGGAAGAUUUAUGGUGGACUUGAAGUUGGAUUUGGCUUAGCUUAAGUGUCAUGACGAGCGCGCAACCAAAGAGAACAACGAGGAACCGUCAAAGUCUGAAAUGUUUAUUACAACUCGUAUAAAGAAAGGGAAGGAAGUUCAUACAUAUACUCAAGUUGCAACAUCUGAACUUCAGAAUCGUCAAAGUUCCGGAGAAACAUCAGAUUAGGGCUGUAUCUGGAAAGGAGCAGCCUGGUCGGGUUAGAUGCUAUGGUAGAUCGGUGACGACAAGCUCUCUGAAAAAAGAUGAAGAAAUCACCAAGCUUAAGCAAAAGCAUGUCAAUGAAAUAACUUCUCUCAAGGAAGAAAUGAAGGAAAUGAUGAGAGAUGAAAUGCAAUGUAUUUUUAGUCAAAUGGUGAAAAACAACCCUGGACUGGAUUUUCAUGAUAUACAAGUGUUUGUUGGAUCUAAUAUUCCUUCACCAGUUGAUGCAAGUAGUGCACGAGCUAUGAGAGGCCAAAAUCUACCACAUUCUUCUGGCUCAACUCACGCCCCAAGUCUUGAAAAGGAAAAUACGGGUGAUGCAAUUGGAUAUGGUGGUCACAAAUCAAUUUGAUUCAUUAAAGUGAAUGGUGAAGACCUUUUGAACAAUUGGGAUGUUUAUUUUUAUUGAUUCUAUAAAUAUGAAUACAUUUGGUUUUGUAGAGGUUUUUGCUAGUGAACUCUUGAACCAACAGUGCUUUAUUACUAUAGACAGUACAUAAAGUAUGUUUCUUUGUUGAAUUUAUUUUAAGUAUAUGUAUUUGAAUUAUUUUUAUUCUA